UACCUAAGUUUUGAAUUUUUGUGGGCCAAGGUACUUUUUUUCCCCAGACGAUCACGUACACUUAUUCAAAAGAAGAGAGUGUCUCGCGACAGGGUAACAUGAGAAAACUCGAAGCGAAUAGCGUAAAGGGAGAGGUAGAGGAAUGUGCACAUCUUUCCCACCGUCCACGUUGCUAGCGAAUAAAAACGCGAUAAACAAAUAACUGGUUCCUUUGGCUGAUGGCUGUUUAUUUUACGAGGGUCAACGAACACCGAAUCCAUAUUCUUGCUUUUCCCCAGCGCAAAAAUAAAGCCCCUGGCCGAGCAUAUAAAUUAAGAAAUGGUGCAGAGGCUUGUCUCUUAUUAUCCAGUCGUUGUUAUUCCUUUCAUUCGCGUAAUGUUGAUUCUGGACCCUCACGAUGUUGCCUAGUUUUCCGGACUGAAGGACAUUUCAAAUUAGGUCAUUGCAGCAUUGACCUUGGUGAUUAUCAACGAUGCAUACUCCCGACCCAACGCAGCAUACCAACAACAGUACAACAAUGCCAUCAGGCCGCAGAUUCAAAGGUACGGCCUUUGUUUGUAAUUAAUUUAUGAGGUAUUCACUGCGCUUCAAAGACAUAGAGGAAGUUGGUCGUUUAAAGCCUAGCAAAAAUAACCAUCUGAAAUAAUAGUUCUCUCACCCGUAGUUGAACAAGAGUAAAAUGAGAGUGGCUUUUGAAGGAACUAUAAUUGCUUUUAUCAACCUGGCCUCUAGAUCACGAAUAAAUCGGAAAUGUAUCAACUAGUUCCACUCAAAAACGCCGAAGGUUUUCAGUUCGAGCUGAAGAAAAAGAGUGUUAUAAAGCCCCAUCCCCUCUCGGCCGCUACUUGGCUCAACCUCAGAAAGGUGCACCUUUAGAGGGCUGCUUUUUCCGACAAUAAAUCCAAUAUGGAACAUUGAUGAUGAUUCGAAAAGUGUUAAGACCAUGAACUAAUUUUAUGAUAAUUAUUCGCUAAUGGUAGCAAAGUCAUGGAAAUGGAUCCGAUAAACUACAUUUAGCUCUUGAGAUGGGGAGAGAACGUACGAGUGUAAGGACUCAGAGGAACAGCAGUUAUGUAAACAGAAAUAUUUUCUCAGAAGUUUAAUCAGCAAACACACAAUUGAAACUUUCGAAAAUCAAUUGAAUCUUUGAUAAUUAAUUGGACCGCGUUAAACAGAAGGCACCAAACCACAUCAGCUAUUGCCAAAUUUAAUUGGGCA
rnacentral:lncRNA from 1 species